AUGCCGUCGGGAGAGGAGCUCAUUGAGGAUCCCCGCUUCUCCACGGAUUCACGACGGAGCGAGGUGCUCGAGGAGAAACUUCUUCUCGGGAUGCCAUGGAAAUCGGCAAGUGACUCCAUUUGCCCAUCAGAGAACCAGUGGGUUGAGGCCCCUCUUUUAUGCACGACUCCUAUUAAGUUCCAAUAUGCAAACUACACGACAGCUGACUAUGCAAAGACCGGAAAAGGGUCCUUGAGGCUUCAGAUAAUUAAUCAGACGAGUGAUAUCAUUCGCACUAUUUUCUGGAGGCCUCUCAAAUUGACAUGGACAAGUGGAUAUAGUACCAAGGAGGCUGCACCGUUUGUUGAAUGGGGCAUACAAGGGCAAAUUCAAAUCCUUUCUCCUGCAAGGCACCCUCAUGUUCAGUCACGACACUAUGUGUGGUGCUAG
rnacentral:rRNA from 1 species